rnacentral:tRNA from 1 species
GCAGGGAUGGCGCAGUGGUGAGAGCACUCGCCUCCCACCCAUGUGGCCUGGGUUCGAAUCCCAGAACCGGCG